GUGCGUCUGUGUUGACAUGCACUUGGAUGCACACACUUAAUAACAAAAAACCAAGAGUUUAUUUUGAACUUCAGAUGUCUUUAGACUAGAGAUUGACUGUUUGUUUGGUUUAUUUUAUUUAUUUUUUGUUCUUAGUUUAACUUUUGACAGCUACUGGCACGGUUUCUGACUAUACUGUGUCUCUGUGUGCAGUUUUGAGCUCUGUAAACAGUGCUGUACUACCCCCUGCUGGUUAACAAGCAGCGACUGCCAACAGACACCAGGAUCAUCAUAUUGGAUGCAGACUAGGACUGUCAAGGGAUGGUUUGAAUGCUGCCUCUAGUCCUGAAAGAAGCACAUUUAAAUCUAAGAGUCCUAAAUACAUUCUUCUUUCAGUCUUCCUUUUCAGGCAAGCUAACUGUCCUGCUGGGAGGGAAAAGCAAUGCAGUAGAGCUAUAAAUUCAUAACCUGUAAAACAUUUUUUUAUUUUUUAUUUUUUUAAUUCCUCAGCACAUGCAGGAUGGCCAAUUUUUGAGCAAACAGAGGUUGUUUUUGUUUUAAAGACCAGUUUUUCCAAACUGUGAUCAACUUUUCCCCUCGUUACAGUAAGAAAUGUUCCGUUUAACCUGCCUGGGUCCAGGAAUGGUUCUUGUUUUUGAGUUUCAUAGCCCAUUUACUUUUAUAUUUUCCCCAUUCAUUUAAUGUUGGGUUUUUUGUUUUGUUUUUAAAAAUAUGUUUAAUGUCUCUUUAACAGCACUUUUUCAAGAGCACUUGUUAUUCGUUACAUAUUAAAUGUAUUUAUAUUACAUAUAAAAUAUAUGGAUUAACACUUUCAGAAGAGCAGGUGUGGAUGACAGAAAAUCAUAGCACUUUUUCCAGAAAGUAGAUUAAAGAGUUUAAUUUAACAAAUCUCAACUCUGCUGUUAGAUGAGGAAAGCCCUGUAAAGUCAGAUGAUUGAGGAGCACUGCAGUUUUUUCCUUAAAAGAAGGAAGAAUUAAAGCAUGUUCAUGUCAUUUUUCUUUUCCUUUGGCUAUUUGACAUGUAUUUUAACUCCACAAGAAAAACAAGGAAAAAAAAAAUCAGCUCUGGUGACUUUUCUUUGUGGGAACCAGAUUUUUAUUUAUUUAUUUUAAUUUGCAGGGAAAGCUCUGGCACUGGGGUGACUGAGGACAAUGAGUGGUGAAAUGUGAGAAAUGCACAUCUUUACUGCACGGAUGCUUUAAUGCUUUAAGGUGUGAUUAGACUUGAUGAAAAGAAGGGUUGGCUGUGAAAACGGUACACUAAUAUUUUCUCACAGUGCCUGUAAGUACCUGAGCAAAUUAUAUGGGGCCUAAUAUAAACAGUUGGUAGACAUUCGCUGUUAAUAUACUCACCUGGUUAUUAUUAUGUGUUCAUGCUAAAUUAAUGAUAGGUGUUUGAAGUGAAUAUAGGUGACCUUCCCAUGUAGACCGGACUGAAAAGAUAAUGAGCAGUUAACUGUCUAAGAUCACAGGCUUGCGUUUGUACUGUCCUGUUAACUGUAGCAGAGGCUGUUACAAGGGCAGGCGGAGGCAGGUCUACAUUAGGGAACAAUCAUCUUAUUUAUUCUGUUUUAUUUUUAAAUCCUGCGAUGUUAACCUAUUACAGAUAUUUUAUUUGUAUUUUCAUUUAGUUAUAAUUGGAAAGCAGAGGCUGCUUCAAAGAGAAAUGUUAAUAUAGUUAAUAUAAUCUGGGAAAUUAUUAUAAGUUUUCAGCAGCCAAGAGCUGAGAUUACUCUUCAUUAGGUGUUGGUUCAAGACAUGGUCUAAGCCAGGACCACAAACUUUUCCUUCAUUAAUCUUUUUUUUUUUUUGUCUGGAAAUAGGCUUAGUAUAUGUGUGGGAAAUCGGUGUCAUUUGACUAGGUUUAUACAUAAACUAAUUUAUAAUGAAGAAAAAAUGCCUCAGGCCUACGGUGUAUCACAAUCUAAAUUACAUCAGAAUCUCUUUAUGGCAGUUUUUAUUUCUAUAAUUUUUGAGAUGUUUUGCUUUAAUGAGUAUCAAAGUUUCACAGGCAGUUUAAUUCUCUGGAGUAUCAAAGAAACCUUUCAGUUUUGUUUUGUUUUUUUUAAUGUCAGAGAAGGUUUGUUUUUGAGAAUGGUGAACUUCAGCUCACAAGUCAGUUUGUGAGAUGCCAAAUUUGAAUUGUUUCUCUGAGGAGCAAUUCACCAUAAAGAUGUGUGGAGUGUGCUGAAUUAGAGAAAGUUUGGCUGCAGGAAUGUACCAGCAGAUGGCAGUGUGCACAAGCUAAUACCUCCUGGUCAUCCCCAAACGGGCAGUUGCAUUAGGAGUAUAGCCUCGCCUUGCUGGUCUGUGACAGUCAACAGUUAUUUAUUUUAUUUCAUAUUUGUAAAAUGGGAGGAAAUGGUGAAGCAACGAGAAAUUAAUUUCCUUUUAAGCUCAAUGCUCAGAACACUCGUGAAUGAACAAAUGCCUGUAACAGCUUCUUAUCAAAUUCUUUAUGCUGUUAUAACUGUGUGUUAGGGAAAUGUAAUGUAAUAGGCUGGAAGGCUAGGAACUGUAGGAAUAGGGUAUUUUUGUCACAGUCACUUAUGGUGUGCCUCGUGGUGUAAUUGUAAAUAAAUUGUUAGUAUCAACUUGUUAAGAUCAAAGUCUAAUAUGAGGGCAGUGUGUUGGUUCAUCUCUCAAUGUUUACUGCUGAUUUUACUAAAAAUUUCCCAAAUAUCACUCGGAUGUAUCUCGUCCACAGGUUAGGAAGUCCAGCUCAAGUGAGGCAGAAAAUGAGUCCUUGGCUCCUUUUAGAGCACUUCUUCACACACUUUUUCCACUUCAAAAAGGCUAGAAAUGUUUAAAGCUCACACCACAACAGCUUUUUAUUAACGAGGAACAAAGAAUUCAAUUUUAGUCAAGUAAAUAUCAGCAUGGUGACUUGAACA
ensembl:lncRNA